UACGAAGGGGGCUAGCGUUGUUCGGAAUUACUGGGCGUAAAGCGCACGUAGGCGGAUAUUUAAGUCAGGGGUGAAAUCCCAGAGCUCAACUCUGGAACUGCCUUUGAUACUGGGUAUCUUGAGUAUGGAAGAGGUAAGUGGAAUUGCGAGUGUAGAGGUGAAAUUCGUAGAUAUUCGCAGGAACACCAGUGGCGAAGGCGGCUUACUGAUCCAAUUACUGACGCUGAGGUGCGAAAGCGUGGGGAGCAAACAGG
rnacentral:rRNA from 1 species